rnacentral:rRNA from 1 species
AACGAACGCUGGCGGCGUGCUUAACACAUGCAAGUCGAGCGGAAAGGCCCUUUCGGGGGUACUCGAGCGGCGAACGGGUGAGUAACACGUGAGUAAUCUGCCCUUGGCUUUGGGAUAGCUCCGGGAAACCGAAAUUAAUACCGGAUAUGACCAUUCCCCGCAUGGGGUGGUGGUGGAAAGUUUUUCGGCCAGGGAUGUGCUCGCGGCCUAUCAGCUUGUUGGUGGGGUAAUGGCCUACAAAGGCUUCGACGGGUAGCCGGCCUGAGAGGGUGACCGGCCACACUGGGACUGAGACACGGCCCAGACUCCUACGGGAGGCAGCAGUGGGGAAUAUUGGACAAUGGGCGGAAGCCUGAUCCAGCAACGCCGCGUGAGGGAUGACGGCCUUCGGGUUGUAAACCUCUUUCACCACCGACGAAGCGCAAGUGACGGUAGGUGGGGAAGAAGCACCGGCCAACUACGUGCCAGCCGCCGCUGUAAAAC